GGAGCCGUAGUUCUGUGGUACAACAUCUGCCUGGUAUGUAGAGGUUCCCAGGUUCGAUCCCGGCCUCUCCA
rnacentral:tRNA from 1 species